AAAAUUAUGCAAAAUACUAAAGUUAGCUUAAGUAAUGUCAGUAGAAUGUGGGUUAUCACCAGCAUGUUGACUUACAUUGACUCUCUCAUUUCAGUAUGAUUAACAUAGAUAAUAAUUUUUUUUUUUUUAAAUGAGCAAAAUUCUUAUUUUAGGUACUUGGCUAAUGUUAGCAUGAGGGCUAUCAUUAGCAUAUUGAGUCACUAGCAUCUUGGUACUAUCWGCAGGAUGAGGGUUAUAGCUAGCCUGUUGACUAACAAAAAUAUUACUCUAUUCAGUAUGCUWACAUUAGUGUACAAAGUAAAGUUAUCUAAAAUGCUUAGKUUAACUUAAGUACAGUCAGUAUCACUGCUCUCCUAUGCAUGGCUUUAGCAGGUCCYAAUAAGCCUGCUAAGUUGRGUGUAGAACAAUAUGUGCCUGCCGUGCAUUUGCAUGGUGCAAACCCCAAUUAAUUCAAUAAGAUAUUCUUUAGAAUUGCUUAUGAAGACAAUUAGCUUAAUUAUUGGUUUCUAUGUUCCAGAUUGUGCCUCAGUAUGUKUGCUGUGGUGRCGCAGGGCCAAAGCACGACCCACGUAUUGAGGCCUUAGUCCUCGUGGUGGUGGUCACAGUUUCGAUACAUUUGCCGCAUGUCUUCCCCCUCUCAUUACCAUGUUUCCUGUCGAAGUACUUUCAAACAGAAGACAACUAGAGCCAAYAAAACCUUAAAAAAAAGAAGAAAUGCACACUGUGUGAACAGUUAAGAAGAAAGUUGGAACAYAACYUUGAGUGACUUGKAUUGUAUAAGUGUUAAGUUGUGAUGUUCAUGAAAGGACCAUGACCAUAACAAUGUUUGAUCAUACGGGAGAGGGGAUGAGCUAAUGCAUGAGUUAGAAUCAUUUUUAUUUGUAAGGCAAAUUAAAAUGACAAAAUAAAAAAAAUUCUAAUCUGGGUCCCAGAGUGGAAAAAUGCUGGCUUUAUGUUUCAAUGUUUACAUAUGUAAUGCUUCAUCCUGUGUUUUGCACUCACAUUCUUUCUUAAUCAGUUUACACAAAUGUUCUUCUCCAUGUGGAUUUAGSUUCAGAAAGAGUUUUGUAGCUCAUAUUUUUAUGUAGAGUACUCCAGUUGACAGUAAGUAUAUCAAAAAUUGUAGAAGUCAAACAGUUUAGCUAGAUGACUACACAGAAGGGUCAAGGAGGAUGAGUGGAAAGGGUCAAAACUAUGGUUUAGGAUGAUGGGCGACAACGGAAAACCAGAGAUUCUCACUUUUUCUAAAAAUGAAAACAAGAAUAAAAGAUGCUAAUAUCUCAAAAAACCUUUUAUGUUGGAAUAAUAUUUCACAACUGCUUACAUCUUAAGAUGGAGUCUAAGAAAACCUUCUCUUCUAAUACAGUGCAGUUAACAAAACCCUUACAAGUAAGAAAAGCUCAAACAACUGAUUGAACAACACAUGUCUGGGUCGAUUCUAUUUUGACUGACAGACUUAAAUUACAUGAACACAUGAACUUUGUCUAACUGAGAGAGUCUACUGCAUGAGUUCAGAUGAGUUCUCUUUGUCCGGUGAGAAGGUAGAUCGCCAUAGUUAGCAAYGUAUAAGAAAAACCCUAAAAAAAAUUGUGACAUGGGGUAAAUAAAAGUAAGAUGGUUUUGUGCAUAAGGGGAAAGAGAAGGAUUCAAAAAGUGUGUGAAUUAAAAAUGUGAGGCAGAUCAAGAUCUUCAGAGUGAGUGUGAUGGAAAAUUAUGAUAAUUUGUCUAUAUAGCGUGUAGAUAUAGGAAUGUUUAGGCUUAAGUUUAGUGCCGUGUGGGCAGGGCGGUGGUAAAUGGAAUGAUUCACAUUAAGUUCAUCUGUCAGUGACAAAGAUGUUUCCUCUACCCGCAAUGCGGCUGCUGUGACAACUCUCUCUGGUCGUGGGGGAAACAACUACGUAGGAGGGAAAGGGGCUUGUAGUAUAAGAAGAUCUGAGAUCAAAACUCAUCGUCACAGAAGAGUGAAAGCACCCUGCUGCUUGAGAGAAGAACACCACGUGUCUGUCGCCUGAACAAGACUCAUUGGAUUCUCUGCUGUUGUACACAUUUCGGCAGGGAGAUUGUUUACUGAACUGUGUUGACUGAAGGACUCAACAGCUACACAUUUAAGAGCAAAUAUUUAUCCUGAAGAUGCAGUUYAGCCUGAUUUUAACUUCUCUUUUCUGUUUCACAACACGGGUGAACAUGGUCCGAGCAACUGACUGCGAUUGUGUUGUGCUCUCCAAAACAAGAGUCCAUCAUUCUAAAAUUAAGGAAUACACCAUUCAGGAUGAUGACGGCAACUGUCUCUUUAGAGCAAUUGUGUUUCGGACAGUGGGCGGAAAGACCAUUUGCUCCAACCCCAAAGACGACUGGGCAAAUCAUGUUAUUCAGCUACUGAAAAAAAGCCAGAAUCCAAACAUAUCAAAAGACUCAUCAGGAUCAGAAU